CGCCAUUCCGUCGGCUCAGUUGGCGGCGACGACAACAGAAGGCGACAACAUGAAAGCUAUCGUGUUCGUGUUGGUGGUGCUGGCUGUGGUGUGUGCGGCCUUGGCGAUGCCUGGCCCGAUGCCCUUCCCGCGCCCUUUCCCUAUUCCAGUGGCUGCUGAGCCCAGAGAGACCCUCCGGGGCAGCGAGCAGUACUACUACUACCCCUAUGUCUACGGAUAAACCUGGACCGAAUUGUCACAAGCUGUCAACAACGGAUUUAUGGACUUGGCACUGAAAUGAAAUCAAACACCUCCUGGUCAACAUUUUCUUUCUGUUUGUUAUAUUCUUAAUGUUCUCAGUCACACAAUAAAUUUUCUUCUUCUCUUAUAAA